rnacentral:rRNA from 1 species
AUUGAACGCUGGCGGCAGGCCUAACACAUGCAAGUCGGGCGAGCAGCGGACGGGUGAGUGAUGUAUGGGGAUCUGCCUAAUGGAGGUGGAUAACUACUGGAAACGGUAGCUACUACCGCAUACCAUCAGUUGCGCCCAUGGUGGAUGAGCUUGUAGGUAAGGUAACGGAAUACCAAGGCGACGAUCCCUAGCUGGGCUGAGAGGAGGAUCGGCCACACUGGGACUGAGACACGGCCCAGACGCCUCCGGGAGGCAGCAGUGGGGAAUAUUGGACAAUGGGCGAAAGGCUGAUGCAGCCACGCCGCGGGUAUGAAGAAGGCCUUCGGUUUGUAAAGUACUUUCAUUCGGGAGGCGUUACCGACCGAAGAAGCCACGGCUAACUCCGUGCCAGCAGCCGCGGUAAUAC